GGGACGUCGGCAGCUUGGCGCUGGAGGGGCCCUGGGCGGCCCACUCGUCCUUCAGGAACUCCUCCUCGUCCUCUGAGUCCGUAUCUGCGGUCAAAGCAGUUUUUAACACAUUACACGGAGGAAACAGGCACGUGACAUUGCAACUCCCAGCUCCACCCCGACCUUUUCUCCCGGUCAGAAAGCGGGGUUACCAGCACAUGGCUCUGCUCAGGAGGCUGUUGAGCAAGAUUUCACAAGACGAAAGGGCUCUACAGCCAAAACCCGUAAUCCCUUGAUCUGGUAAAGUGUUCGUGAACGCAGUACAGCUCUGGCAGUGCCUGCUGUCUCCAAGUCCAAGAGAAACCGUGAGCCACAUCCCCGGCUGGAGACGUCCCUGCGUUGAUGACGACCGAUGUGGCUUCCCACCAGAACCCACCAAGCUCGCCACCCAACCUGUACAAGCCAAAGUGGAAGAGCAGGAGAGCCAAGGUCUCUCUUCCCAUCUCCAGCAGGACCACAUCUUGCUGCUGGGAAACACGCUGACCUCUCCAUGGCCAGGCCCUCUUGUUUACCAGAAUGGCAGAAAAGACAAUUGAAAAAGAAGCGCUCUCUCCACAGCCAGGUAACAUUUCACAGGGAGAGGAAAGUUGGGAUAGUGUCAAUUAAACAACAAAAGUGUCCUUCACAACGUGAGAGUACAAAGGAUCCCGACGUACACACUGGCUCUCCCCGCCCCCCAAUCCCGUCUCCUUUGAGUCCUUCCCUCUGAUGGCCAAGCCAACCAAAACAGCCCCCUGCCACAGGGCUCUACUGGGAGGGCGACAAGGUGAAUGGUGAAGCGGCUCCUUAAAGAAAUACACUGCUAAACAACACAGUAACUGCUGUGCUUGGUUAAGAACUCACAGUCUCUCUUCCUGGCUUCGGCAAAGGGUCGGGGUGCAAGCCCCGAGGGCGUGGCUUUCAGCCUCAGCACCACCCCGGGCUGUGCUGCUUGACUACAUCUCUGACCUCCCCCGAGCCUUC